CCAUGUCAUAAACAAGAUGACUACGAAACAUGUUACUACUCUCUGCUGUCUUCUUCUAGUGCUCGUGCUGCAUUCAGAUCAAACAUCUGCUGCUGAGAGCUGCAGCUAUUCGGUUCGUUCGGUUCCAUUCUGUAAGAGUUGGAUGUGCAAGACUGAAUGCUGGUUAGAGUCGCAGCUAAUAACAUCGAAUACGAUCAAGGAACACAACUGCAUCAAAGGAGGGCUCAAUGGGUUGUGUCGCUGCCUCUUUUGUGAAAAGUAGUAGUCUCAUCUUUAUUAAUCUCUAUUAUUAGAGCAGAGUGAUGAAACGGUAUCAUCAUUGCUGUCCAAGAAGAACAAAUCAGAGGAGAAUAUAAUAGACCUGGUUGAGAUGGUAGUAGUUUAUUAGCCGACUCUCUAUAUAUAGUUGUCUGUUUUUUUUUCUCUUGGUAAUCUGCUUCAGUAUUCCAUUUAUUUUCGUAAAAGAAAACUUUGAUUGAAUAAUAUAAUGGCCUUCAGAAAUGGUUUAAUGA